UUGGCCCCUCUAUGGUAACGAGGGCUGCGGGUGGGCAGGAUGGCUCCUGUCCCCACGCGGCUCCCGUCCAUCUUGGGGCCC
rfam:Hepacivirus C isolate sP132204 polyprotein gene, complete cds